rnacentral:rRNA from 1 species
GAGGAAUAUUGCGCAAUGGCCGAAAGGCUGACGCAGCGACGCCGCGUGAAGGAUGAAGUUCGUUAGAAUGUAAACUUCUUUUGUAGGGGAUGAAUGUGCCGGUUUCCGGCACUGACCGUACCCUGCGAAUAAGGAUCGGCUAACUACGUGCCAGCAGCCGCGGUAAUACGUAGGAUCCGAGCGUUGUCCGGAUUUACUGGGUGUAAAGGGCGUGUAGGUGGGUCUCUAAGUCGGUGGUGAAAGCCCGCAGCUUAACUGCGGAAUUGCCAUUGAUACUGGAGGUCUUGAGUACGGCAGAGGGAAAUGGAAUUCAUGGUGUAGCGGUGAAAUGUGUAGAUAUCAUGAAGAACACCGGUAGCGAAGGCGGUUUCCUGGUCCGUAACUGACACUGAGGCUCGAAAGCGUGGGGAGCAAAC